rnacentral:misc_RNA from 1 species
AAAAAAGUUUCAUUUUAUCAGAAUAUAGGCUUAUUAAUUUUUUUUUUAAGUGGGUUAAGUUUCAAAUUAUAAGAAUAAUGGCUCAUUAAAUUUUUUAUUUAAUUGGAAUAGUAAAAAAAUAACCUUUUUAAAUUUUGUUAAGGUUUUUCUUUAGCCUGACAUAAGAGACAUUUAAGGGCAUACCCACAUUUAAAGUACUCUAAAUUAAAAAUAAAAUUGUUGAGGAGUUUCGACUUUGUUUCAAUCUUUGAGUUCAAUGUUACACGGAUGCAA